ACGAAGGGUGCAAGCGUUACUCGGAAUUACUGGGCGUAAAGCGUGCGUAGGUGGUUUGUUAAGUCUGAUGUGAAAGCCCUGGGCUCAACCUGGGAAUUGCAUUGGAUACUGGCAGGCUAGAGUGCGGUAGAGGGUAGUGGAAUUCCCGGUGUAGCAGUGAAAUGCGUAGAGAUCGGGAGGAACAUCUGUGGCGAAGGCGACUACCUGGACCAGCACUGACACUGAGGCACGAAAGCGUGGGGAGCAAACAGG
rnacentral:rRNA from 1 species